GCGGAGGAAAAGAAACCAACAGGGAUUGCCCUAGUAACGGCGAGUGAAGCGGCAACAGCUCAAAUUUGAAAUCUGCCCUCGGGCCGAGUUGUAAUUUGCAGAGGAUGCUUUGGGCGCGGUGCCUUCCGAGUUCCCUGGAACGGGACGCCACAGAGGGUGAGAGCCCCGUAUGGUCGGACACCAAGCCUGUGUAAAGCUCCUUCGACGAGUCGAGUAGUUUGGGAAUGCUGCUCAAAAUGGGAGGUAAAUCUCUUCUAAAGCUAAAUACCGGCCAGAGACCGAUAGCGCACAAGUAGAGUGAUCGAAAGAUGAAAAGCACCUUGAAAAGGGGGUUAAAUAGUACGUGAAAUUGUUGAAAGGGAAGCGCUUGUGACCAGACUUGUGCCGGGCGGCUCACCAGCCCUUCUGGGCUGUGCACUCCGCCCGGCUCAGGCCAGCAUCGGUUCUCGCCGGGGGAUAAGACCGCUGGGAACGUAGCUCCCCCUCGGGGGAGUGUUAUAGCCCGGCGGACGAUACCCUGGCUGGGGACCGAGGUUCGCGCUCCGCAAGGAUGCUGGCGUAAUGGUCAUCAGCGACCCGUCUUGAAACACGGACCAAGGAGUCGUCCAUUAGAGCGAGCGUUUGGGUGUCAAACCCGCACGCGUAAUGAAAGUGAACGCAGGUGAGAGCUUCGGCGCAUCAUCGACCGAUCCUGAUGUUCUCGGAUGGAUUUGAGUAAGAGUUUUAACGGACGGACCCGAAAGACAGUGAACUAUGCUUGUAUAGGGUGAAGCCAGAGGAAACUCUGGUGGAGGCUCGCAGCGGUUCUGACGUGCAAAUCGAUCGUCAAAUAUGAGCAUGGGGGCGAAAGACUAAUCGAACUGUCUAGUAGCUGGUUACCGCCG
rnacentral:rRNA from 1 species